GAGACUUCACAAUGGUUUGAUAACCAUGUGUAGGAUGCUGAUUUGAGCCUCUCCCAAUUCUCUAGUAGCCUCACUGGGCCAGGCAGCACUCAAUAUACCUCUUCACCACUGGCAUGAUUUCUGAUCACAUUUGGUGUCACC
rfam:Equus caballus cont2.34181, whole genome shotgun sequence.